CCAGCCGGUGUUCAUGCCCCAUAG
rnacentral:miRNA from 1 species